rnacentral:rRNA from 1 species
GUCUCUCCGGAAAUUUACAUGGAGAGUCGGCCCUGCCCGGUGAUAAUUUAAGUAAACGGUCGCAAUGAAGAGUUGUGCUAAGGUAGCGCAAUAAAUUGUCCUUUAAUUGGGGAAAUGAAUGAAAGGGUUGACGAGGGGGAAGCUAUCUUUUUGGUAUAGUUUGAAGUUUUCUUUUAUGUGAAAAGACUUAGAUUUUAUAAUUAGAAGAGAAGACCCCGGCGAGCUUGUUAAGGGUUACUAAGUUGAGGUAAUUAUUGAUUUUUGUUGGGGCAACGCAAAGGGAAAAGAACUCCUUUGAGUUUUAUAGGGAUCCACUUAGAGUGAACAAAGCAAAAGCUACCGCGGGGAUAACAGCGCAAUUUCUUCAGAGCUCAUAUCCAAGAGGAAGGUUGCGACCUCGAUGUUGGAUUAAGAUUUCCUUUUGGUGCAGGAGUAAAAAGGUAGGACUUUC